CCUACGGGAGGCAGCAGUGAGGAAUAUUGGUCAAUGGACGAGAGUCUGAACCAGCCAAGUAGCGUGAAGGAUGACUGCCCUAUGGGUUGUAAACUUCUUUUAUAUGGGAAUAAAAUGUUCCACGUGUGGGAUUUUGUAUGUACCAUCUGAAUAAGGAUCGGCUAACUCCGUGCCAGCAGCCGCGGUAAUACGGAGGAUCCGAGCGUUAUCCGGAUUUAUUGGGUGUAAAGGGAGCGUAGGUGGAUUGUUAAGUCAGUUGUGAAAGUUUGCGGCUCAACCAUAAAAGUGCAGUUGAAACUGGCAGUCUGGAGUACAGUAGAGGUGGGCGGAAUUCGUGGUGUAGCGGUGAAAUGCUUAGAUAUCACGAAGAACUCCGAUUGCGAAGGCAGCUCACUGGACUGCAACUGACACUGAGGCUCGAAAGUGUGGGUAUCAAACAGGAUUAGAUACCCCGGUAGUC
rnacentral:rRNA from 1 species